UGUGAGACAAAGUUGUCUAAAGGUUACAC
rnacentral:piRNA from 1 species